rnacentral:rRNA from 1 species
AUACGUAGGUGGCAAGCGUUGUCCGGAUUUACUGGGCGUAAAGAGCGCGCAGGCGGUUGUGCAAGUCGCGUGUGAAAGCCCCCGGCUCAACUGGGGAGGGGCACGCGAUCCUGCUCAACCCGAAGGCAGGAGAGGGGAGGGGAAUUCCCGGGGUAGUGGGGAAAUGGGUAGAUAUCGGGAGGAACACCAGUGGCGAAGGGGCCUCCGGGGCUUGUUCUUGAGGCGGGGGCGAAAAAGCUGGGGAAGAAAGGGGGAUUAGAUCCCCGGGUGGUCCUAGCCGAAAACGAGGGACACUAGGUGUUGGUGGUACAACCCCCGCCAGUGCCGAAGCUAACGCAUUAAGUGUCCCGCCUGGGGAGUACGGCCGCAAGGCUAAAACUCAAAUGAAUUGACGGGG